GACUGGUUUCGCCCUGCCUUGGGCUCAUUAGGAGAACGACCUCAGUUCCCAACCAGUG
rnacentral:hammerhead_ribozyme from 1 species